rnacentral:sRNA from 1 species
UAAGAAGUUGCUUGUUUAGGAAAGCCA